rnacentral:rRNA from 1 species
CGUGCCAGCAGCCGCGGUAAUACGAAGGGGGCUAGCGUUGCUCGGAAUCACUGGGCGUAAAGGGCGCGUAGGCGGCGUUUUAAGUCGGGGGUGAAAGCCUGUGGCUCAACCACAGAAUGGCCUUCGAUACUGGGACGCUUGAGUAUGGUAGAGGUUGGUGGAACUGCGAGUGUAGAGGUGAAAUUCGUAGAUAUUCGCAAGAACACCGGUGGCGAAGGCGGCCAACUGGACCAUUACUGACGCUGAGGCGCGAAAGCGUGGGGAGCAAACAGGAUUAGAUACCCUGGUAGUCCACGCCGUAAACGAUG